rnacentral:rRNA from 1 species
UACGGAGGGUGCGAGCGUUGUUCGGAAUUACUGGGCGUAAAGGGCGCGCAGGCGGCCCUGUAAGUCAGAUGUGAAAGUCCCCGGCUCAACCGAGGAAGUGCAUCUGAAACUGUAGGGCUUGAGUAUGGGAGAGGAAAGUGGAAUUCCCGGUGUAGAGGUGAAAUUCGUAGAUAUCGGGAGGAACACCGGUGGCGAAAGCGACUUUCUGGACCAAUACUGACGCUGAGGCGCGAAAGCGUGGGGAGCAAACAGG